rnacentral:rRNA from 1 species
GCCUUGCCAGCCCGCUCAGAAACUCAAAGGAAUUGACGGGGGCCCGGCACAAGCGGUGGAGUAUGUGGUUUAAUUCGAUGCAACGCGAAGAACCUUACCUGGUCUUGACAUCCCGGAGACCCUUAGGAAACUAGGGGGUGCUUCCAUCUGGAAGAAUCUGGAGACAGGUGCUGCAUGGCUGUCGUCAGCUCGUGUCGUGAGAUGUUGGGUUAAGUCCCGCAACGAGCGCAACCCUUGCCUUUAGUUGCCAGCAGUUCGGCUGGGCACUCUAAAGGGACUGCCGGUGUUAAACCGGAGGAAGGUGGGGAUGACGUCAAGUCCUCAUGGCCUUUAUGACCAGGGCUACACACGUACUACAAUGGCCGAUACAAAGGGCAGCGACACUGCGAGGUGAAGCCAAUCCCGUAAAAUCGGUCUCAGUCCGGAUUGGAGUCUGCAACUCGACUCCAUGAAGUUGGAAUCGCUAGUAAUCGUGGAUCAGCAUGCCACGGUGAAUACGUUCCCGGGCCUU